GGGGGUUAUAGUUUAAUCU
rnacentral:tRNA from 1 species